rnacentral:rRNA from 1 species
AUGCUGUGGCCGUGGCUCGAGGGCCUGGAUUUGGCCGUCGUUAGAAAGUACGCGAUAGAUGGGAUUUGGAAGCUGAUUAAAUCUGCAAAUUCUUUGCCGUUGACUCCGGCAUUGUCUGUCAACUACCUUGAUAGGUUCCUCUUCGUCUAUCCCUUUCCUGAAGGCAAAGCGUGGGUGACACGGCUCUUGGCAGUGGCUCGCUUUUGUCUCGCUUUAAAGAUGGAGGAGACCUAUGUGUCACUCCCCAUGGACCUGCAGGUGAUUGAGGCAAAGUCUGCUUUGGAGGCAAUGACCAUAAAAAGGAUGGAGCGGUUACUGCUUGCUCAUUUAUUGACUACUUCCUUCGCAACUUCAAUCAUCAUGACGCACCCUCCAUGCUCGCAUUCACCCGCACGACCGACUCCAUCCCGAGCACAGCUAAAGGAGCGAGUGUUAAGAUGCCACAAAUUGAUUCAGGACAAGAUAACAAUGGGAACCACUGUCAUCAAAUCGGUUGGAUCAUCAAUGUUCUAUGUGCCGCAAAGCCCGAUAGGCGUGUUGGAUGCUGUUGUAUGUCUCAGCCAACAGAGUGAUGAUACUGUUGUUGGAUCUCUAGCAACAUGA